rnacentral:rRNA from 1 species
GGAAGGAUCAUUAUUGAAUAAACUUGCACAUGGCUGUUGCUGGCUCUUUGGAGGGUAUGUGCAACGCUUGUCAUUUUUAUCUCUCCAACUGCGCACAUAUUGUAGACCUGGAGUUCUUGUUGAUUCAUUUCGAGGUGGCACUGCUGUGCUUUGUAAAUCAUGGUCGGCUUUGCCUUUUCAUAUCCAGGUCUAUGUUGUUUUUACAGCCUCUUGAAUGUGUUUAGAAUGUUGAAUCAGGUCGUUUUGUACCUAUAAAGUUAAAUAUACAACUUUCAGCAACGGAUCUCUUGGCUCUCGCAUCGAUGAAGAACGCAGCGAAAUGCGAUAAGUAAUGUGAAUUGCAGAAUUCAGUGAAUCAUCGAAUCUUUGAACGCAUCUUGCGCUCCUUGGUAUUCCGAGGAGCAUGCCUGUUUGAGUGUCAUUUAAGUUCUCAACCACAUCAAUUCUUUGGUGAGGCGUGGAAGUUGGGGGUAUUUUUGCAGGCUUUUGUGAAUUUGAAGUCGGCUCCCCUGAAAUGCAUUAGUGGUAUCUGAGCAGAAGAAACUACCACAGGUGUGAUAAUUAUCUUCGCCUUGGUAUGCUGCAUAAUCAGAUUGCGCUGCUUCUAACGAGUGGGAGAUCCCUUUUGGGAAGACCACAUUUGAUGAAUUUGACCUCAAAUCAGGUAGGACUACCCGCUGAACUUAAGCAUAUCAAUAAGCGGGAGGA